UACAGAGGUCCCAAGCGUUGUUCGGAUUCAUUGGGCGUAAAGGGUGCGUAGGUGGCGCCGUAAGUCGGGUGUGAAAUUUCGGAGCUUAACUCCGAAACUGCAUUCGAUACUGCGGUGCUUGAGGACUGGAGAGGAGACUGGAAUUCAUGGUGUAGCAGUGAAAUGCGUAGAGAUCAUGAGGAAGACCAGUGGCGAAGGCGGAUCUCUGGACAGUUACUGACACUGAGGCACGAAGGCCAGGGGAGCAAACGGG
rnacentral:rRNA from 1 species